CCAGACUCCUACGGGAGGCAGCAGUGGGGAAUAUUGCGCAAUGGACGAAAGUCUGACGCAGCGACGCCGCGUGAGGGAUGAAGGUUUUCGGAUCGUAAACCUCUGUCAGGAGGGAAGAAAGCGCAUGGCGCCAAUCAGCCAUGCGUUGACGGUACCUCCAAAGGAAGCGCCGGCUAACUCCGUGCCAGCAGCCGCGGUAAUACGGGGGGUGCAAGCGUUGUCCGGAAUCAUUGGGCGUAAAGCGUUCGUAGGCGGUAAAGUAAGUCAGAUGUUAAAGCCCGGGGCUCAACUCCGGUUCGGCAUUUGAUACUACUUGACUAGAAUGCGGUAGAGGUAAAGGGAAUUCCUGGUGUAGCGGUGAAAUGCGUAGAUAUCAGGAAGAACAUCGGUGGCGAAAGCGCUUUACUGGGCCGUUAUUGACGCUGAGGAACGAAAGCCAGGGUAGCAAACGGGAUUAGAUACCCCGGUA
rnacentral:rRNA from 1 species